rnacentral:rRNA from 1 species
AUGCAAGAGUUUGAAGGAAAGGAGCCAGUGGUUUUCUAUCUGAGUAGGAGACUUCUAGAUCCAGAAACGAGAUAUUCUCCUACCGAAAAGUUAUGCUUAUGCCUAUAUUUCUCUUGCACCAAGUUGCGGCAUUACUUAUUAUCGGCCGAGUGUACUGUUGUUUCCAAGGCUGAUGUGAUCAAGCACAUGUUAUCGAUGCCAAUACUGAAUGGGAGAGUGGGAAAGUGGAUUCUCAUGUUAUCAGAAUUUGACUUGAGGUACGAAUCGGCUAAAGCAGUCAAAGGGCAAGUAAUAGCCGAUUUCGUCACCCAUCAUCAUAAGCCAAGCAUUAAUUGUGUAGAGCCGGUACCUUGGACGUUAUUCUUUGAUGGAUCAUCAUGUAAGCAAGGUGGUGGCAUUGGUAUUGUUAUUAUUUCACCUCGGGUGGUAAAUUUUGAGUUUGCUUUUCCAACCGAACCAAUGAUUACCAACAAUCAAGCAGAGUACGAAGCUGUUCUCAAGGGGAUUCAACUUCUUCAUGAAGUAAAGGCCGAAGCAAUUGAAAUAUUUGGAGACUCACAGUUAAUUAUUAAUCAGUUGAUCGGCCUGUUUGAGUGCAAAGAAGAUACUUUGAGAGGAUAUUAUGACGAGUGCCAAAGGUUGCUCAAGGAAUUUCCUCAUGUCUCAUUUCAACAUAUUCCGAGAGCACAAAAUCAAGAAGCUAACCGUUUGGCUCAAAGUGCUCCAGGUUAUCGAGUGAUUCAAGAAAUCUUGAGUAAUGAAACCUCGAGUAGUGACUGGAGAGUUGAAAAAGCCGACUACCUUAGGAAUCCGUCACAGAAAGUUACCAGAAAACUAAGGUAUAAAUCGACUAAGUAUGUUUUACUGGAUGAUCAGCUGUACUACAAAAGAAUGGAUGGGGCAUUGGUCAAAUGCCUGAAUCAAGAAGAAGCUAAGGUGUUGAUGGGCGAAGUGCAUGAAGGGAUAUGUGGAGCUCAUCAAUCGGCUUGUAAGAUAAAAUGGAUUAUUUGCAGAAUUGGAUAUUUUUGGCCAAUAAUAUUGGAGGAUUGUUUUGAAUAUUACAAGGGGUGCCAAGACUGUCAACGUUUUGGUAAUAUUCAGAAAUCCAUGAACCCAAUAAUCAAGCCAUGGCCGUUUUGGGGCUGGGGAUUUGAUUUGAUUGGCCAGAUUUUUCCACCCUCAAGCAAAGGAUUAACAAUUAUCACACUUUUCCAGCAGUAG